ACACUGAUGGUGAAACGGUAUCAUGCUUGCCUUCCACUUGCGUGAGCAAGCGGCGUGGGUUCGACUCCCGCUCAGUGUA
rnacentral:tRNA from 1 species